rnacentral:ncRNA from 1 species
GUACUCGACAAAAUAGCCCCAUAAUUUCGGAAGAAGGGGUGCCUCCUCACAAAGGGGGUUGUAGUGACCAGGCACGAGCGACUGCUUACCUAAAGCACAAGUCUUUGCAAAGUCGUAAGACCAUGUAUGCGGGCUGACGCCUACCUAGUGCCGAAAGGUCAAGGAAGUUGGUGACUUGAUGAUAGGGGAGCCGACAACUGAAGUCUCGGUGAACGACAACCGUAAUUGUAACGAUCCUAAGGUAGCAAAAUUUCUUGUCGGAUAAGUUCCGACCUGCACGAAAGACGUAACAUAGACUUGGUGAAAU